AUGAAAGUAGACCUGGUUGCAGUAUGCCAUUUUUGGAUUCGAUUUUCAUGUAAUUUGAGUCUACUCAGUUCUGAAAGACUUUCCAUACUUUAAAGGAAAAAAGAGAAGGCAAAUCUACUUCUAGAAAGAACUUAUUACUACAUCUGUGACAUGUAAGUAUGUUCUGGUGAAGAGACAACAGUAAGGGCUUGUAGAAACAACCACUUUCAUACAGUUUAAUAUUUAAUAUUAACAACAUCCUAGUCUGCUCCUUGAAAGGAGGAUGCUGCUUUACAUUCCUUUGACUUCCCCACCAAGUCUCCAACAGCCUGAAUUGUAAGAGGUCCCGUACAUCAUGGAUGCUUCAAGGGCAAGGUCUGUUAAUUAUUCCUCAGUAGCCCCAGCAGUUAGAAGAAUACCAGUUGCAUAGUAGGUACUUAAGAAAUGUUGACAGACCUGGACACAAACCUCAUGAAUAGUACAUGCAUAAUGGAUAUUUAAUGAUUUACUCUGAAAGACAUCCUAGUUCUUUUGAAUAUACAAGUUGCUUUUUCUCAGCAAGUUCAUCCCUUGCUAUAAAAUAAAAGAUGGGCUAGUGUAGGUGUUUGUAUAUUAAGGCAGAUAACUUCACAAGUGUCCAACUGGCCUUAUGCUACUAAGUUUGCCCACGUCUAUGAUACAGGAAUUUUAAUAAAAAUGUUUUAACACUAAAACAAGUUUUAUUGUGUACUUUUUAAUAAUUUAGAUAUGACUUUGUACACAUAAAAUAUAUUUUUAAAAUAUGCACAUCAUCAUUGUUACUUGUAAUAUAAGCUAUAGGUUUAAUGAGAAUAGAAUGGUGGGAGACAAAUUUUACUCUGUUAUGGCUGUAAGAAGGAGCUUUAUAACCCAGUACUAGGACUUCUGAGGCUUAAAUCGACUUGUAUAUUGCCCCUAAAAAUGUUUCUACUAAUUUCUACUCCUAAAGUAUAUUAAUUUAGAUAUUAUCUUUGUUUUUUCAUCAGCUCUGAGAAUUGUAUCCAAAAACAUACGAGGGAAUUAACUGCAUCCAUUCAGUGACAACUGCACCAUUACAAAGAAAGGAUAGGCAUAAAACUCAAUGACCAAAAAGCUAUGAAGCAGUUCCCUCCUUCUCUCACUGACCGGUAACCCAAACACCCAGGAAAAAACAAUUGCAGAAUAUAGGAUAUGUGACAGGGGUGAAAUUGCAACAGCAUCAUAAGCCCAAAUGUCUCGAUAAAACUAAACUAAUUUUUUCCUAAUAUAAUAUGAAAGACCACUAAUGACAAAACACUUGAGUAAUAGAAGUCAUUCAGAGACUCAGAAAGAAAGAAAGAAAGAAAGAAAGAAAGAAAGAAAGAAAGAAAGAAAGAAAGAAAGAAAGAAAGAAAGAAAAAAAGAAAGAAAGAAAGAAAAGAGAAGAGAAGAAAGGAAGGGAGAAAGGGAGGCAAAAAAGGGGAAAUAAUAAGAGAAAAAAAAGAACAAAAAAAGAAAAAGUCCUACUGCUCUGCCUGUUUUUAAUACUGACACCCCAUAAACAAAUCUGUCCCUGGGAUAUGAUACAGAGGCCUGGAGUCUGUGACCUCCUUUCUGAAUCUAUCAGGAGACACAGCCCACACCAAAACACCAGGAGUGUUGCUUCUGCCAAAUAUCCUUUACUAACUUCAAAGAAAGAACGGGGAAAGAGCUGUAAUAAUGCUUAACACGAAAUACUGCCUUUCUGCUUCCUUUCCUUUCCCCAUAGACUGAAUGAACUGUCAUUAUAAGACAACAUACUGCUGAGUUAAUGUAACUUAAAAAUUUACAGCAGGUUGUAUGCCUGGAGGCACAUUAUGGGGCCACCUGUAGGCAUCUAAUUCCAGUGAAAAUAAUAAAUAAUUGUGGAGCAUUCCUCAGAGUCUAGAGAGAGUGGAUAAGAAUCGUGUUGCUUGUUCACUCCAACAUGGAUUCUGUUGUGGAGGAGGAUUAGAGAACUGAACUCUCUCCAACAAAUGAGUAAUCCUUCUCCCCACAAAAGAGUCCGCUAAAUGCUACACCAGACACCUGGGUGCCAGAUCUACACAGCCAUUUUUGUGCACUUCUGAUAAUCCACCUGCAGAAAUUGCCACUUGGCAAUUGCUUAAUAUAGCACGUUGAUCCAUUUGAGGACUUUUUUUAAACAGUAAAGAAAGCUAUUUUGUUUGUCUCUCUGUAUGCUGUUUAUCUUUUUGAAACUCCUCCUCACAUUUUGGCAAAGAUAGUGACAGUAAGAAUAUCUGUGAUAUGCCUCCAAUCACUUAUUUGGGAGAAAUUAGUAUGUGUAUUUUAGCAAUGCUCAGCAACCUUGACCUUUUUUUCACUGGAAAGAAAAAUAAAUUUACUACAGAGCUGCUUUUUUUUUUUAAAAAAAGAAAAAAGAAAGAAAAGGCCAAAGGAUUUGUUAUCGUGCUUUUGCCACAAGGUAGGUGGGUUAGUAUUUAUCCUGUGACUACUCAGAGUAUGCAUGUUGUUUAUUUUAGAUAAGAUAAAAUAUUCUAAGAUAGAGAAAUUUUACAUAUAUGUGUGUCUAUACAUAUAUAACAUGAACUUUUAUUAAGCAGGUUUCAAAAGAUAGUCUAAUUUUUGUUCAGUUGGGUUAUAAAUUACUUAUAAACUUUACUAAUGUAGUCCUCAUCUUACAGCCACUGCAAAUACGGUUUGGGUUUAAAAUCUAUGACAACCUUUGAUCAUAACAAUCACAUGGUUUGGAAUUAAGAAAACUAGAUUGAAAUGAUCAUGUAAGUAAGUAGUGAAGAUUGGAUGCUCGGUGGUAUUCAGGUUCACAUUUCCUUUCCAUUUGUACUACACGAAGGGUUAAUAAGGUUUGCAUAACCUUAUUCUUUGAAGGCUUUUUGGCAGAGGCAGACUAUUUAAGGAUUGCUGCCAAAACAGAUUUUAACCCUUUUAAUCAUACUGUUAAUAACCACAUUGUGCACGGUACAGAGCAUACUGCACAUAAGGCAAUAUCACUCUGAACACAGUUUGACCUGAUACCCAAUCAAGGAAAGGUUCCUAGAGACGCUUGCCAUUUUGGUUGCUAUGGUGAGUUUCAUAUUUUGUGGAAACCACUGCUAGAUGUCUUAAAAUAGAACUUUGUCAAGAAAAACAUUGGUCCAGUGGCAUAUGCUGGCAGAGCCUACCAAGGUUGCUCAAAUUCCCUUCCUUUGUUUUUCACUCUCCCCACUGGGGCAACUGUUCCAAGCAUCAGCCCACUAGUCUGGCAGGCAGAGAAUCCAGAAACUUGCUGCUAAUUACAAUGUUGACAAUUCCCAACCUGUUUACUGGCGCCAGCAAUCAAACCGCAUCCUCUCGAGUGAACCAAAAAGCACUUGCUGGCUUUAGCUUCCUGAGGUUCCAAGCUGGCUAUAUUAAUUACUGUUAACUUAAAACUGUAUGUUGUACAGAAGAAGCUUAAUUAGCUGGUAUGAGGAUUAAUAUCUAUCCUUUACACAAUUUAAAACAUUUUGUUCUUGGCCAAAUUAUGUGAAUCCAUAAAAUAUUUUUCUUUGGACAAAAUAUUGAUUAUUUUAGGUGUGGCUUCUCAGUGCCAAUUUUUCCACUGGAUUAUUUUCAGUUGAGCAAGACAAUAGAUUUUAAAAAGUUAGUCUGUCUGUCUAUCUACCUACCUAUCUUGGGAUUAUAUCUACAACCUUUUUAAAAAACUUUAGAAAGAGAAUGAACAUAGUUAUUUACAGUUAUUGUUUAUAAUUAAUAAAAUAGGAAAACCUAUUAAAUGGGAUUAAAUGGUCAAAAGGAUAUCAACUUUCUAUCUUGAUGAAUUUAAAACAAAGAUAGUUACACCAUUUUUCUAGUGAACCCUCAAUGCUAUGAUAGAGGAAUGAUUUGGUAGUCAUAUGGCACAUAAUGGUGUAUGUAUCAAUGACAGGCUAGAUAUACAAUGGUGAUCCCAUAAACUUGUAAUACUGUAUUCCUACUAUACCUUUUCUAUAUUUAGAGUGUUUAGAUUCACAAAUACUUACCAUUGUGUUACAAUGGGCUACAUUAUUCAGUAUAGUAACAUGUGGCUGUACAGGUUUCCAGCCUAAGAGCAGUAGGCUGCCAUACAGUCUAGGUGUAUAGUAGGCUAUACCAUAUAGGUUUCUGUAAGUACAUUCUAGGUUGUUACUACAAUGCCAAAAUUGCCUAAGGAUGUGUUUCUCAGAAUGUAUCCUUGUUGUUAAGCAACAUAUGUACGAGGAGCAUGCUUCACGAUUGAUAAGUUGGUUGAACCCACAGUGCAAAAUCACCUUCUCAAACCCCUAAAUUGUUAGCAUUGCAAGUAACCCAGAUGUGGCAGUGGCAGACCACAAUGCAAUUUUCAUAAAUAGCACAACAGAAGUGAACAGGGUUCAAUUGCAAAAUUGAGAAUUUUACUUUGAUUCUGCCCUAAUCCAAGAGCUGAUCUGUCCCUGUUUAUUUAACAAGAUAUCUUUGAACAUUUAAAAAGUGAAGUAAAAGUAAAUAUAAUUUUAAAUUGUAUAUUAAAAUGUGAUUUUAUUUCUGUUAUUUGGUAUGAGAACAUCAUGGGGUCACUAUUAUUUAACAAUGUCACUUUAAAUUUUUCAUUGAAUACACUGCAUUACAAAUGUUUUUGAAUCCAAUCUUUUAGUCAACAUUUGCAUUUGGAAGCUUAUUAAACUGAGUUGAUGUAAUUGUGAUUAACAUUUCCCUUGUUUUACUGAAAUAUUUUCAACUAGGGUAAAAGGUCAAAUUAUUCCUUUAAUUAUGAUUCAUCUUCUGUUUCUACAUUAAGAUAGCCUAUACCAUUUUCCAAGAUUUAAAAAAUCAUUAGUACAAGCACACUAGAGACCUUUGGAAUCUGUUGAUACAUUCACAUCUAUAUAUACAAUAUAAGAAUUUUUGAAAAGUUUAGAUUACUUGGGUAAAAUAUCACUGAAUAGUAUGAAAAAUAUAAGAAUUAUUCUCAGAUAAUAGGAAGAGUAAUGUGAGAAAAACUUCAACAUUUAGUGAAGUUUUAGUGUGAUGUAUUAGAAAGAAAACACCCAACAAGGACUUAGAAAAUGGGUUCCAAAUAUUAUCUGGGUGUCCAUGGAGAAGUUAUUUGGAUUCUCUGUGUUGUGAGGACUUCAUAUGGGAAACAUGGGAAUUGUAUUACAUACCAAAGAACUAGAUCUGAGAUAGAAAUUUAUAAUGACAACUAACUAUCAUAUGAGUUUACUAUGAGCUUAUCAAAGACUUUUGAAAUUUUGUAUUCCAUGUGGUUAUAGGAAUGGAAAAUAGUCAUAUUAAAGGCAAACCAAUGAUCAGGUGGAAAUGUUACGUAUUUGGAAAUAAAGGCCAAGUUAGACAAGGACAAAUGUGUCAAUCUUCUCUAUCUUUAUCAUGGUUAACUAACAAAUAGAUUUCCUCUCUAAAAUCUAAAUCAAUUAAGUGAAUAGGAAAAACUAAACUCUUGGUAUCAGUAUUUUAUAUCAGGAAAUACUGUCUUAACAAAUCCUCCUAGGUUACUUUACUUCUAGAGCAUAAAUUCAAGUAUCACACAUAUGUUUUCUAAUAGAAAAACUGUUAAAAAGGCUGUCUCUUUUAAGCCAUAUCCCCCUAGGCUCAAUUUUCAGAAGUCUGUCUUUUCAGACUGAUGUUCUUUCUUUUAUUUGAGAAACAUCCAGAUUUCUUGCCUUUCUCAAUUUUCUACAGAUAAGCUAGGCUUACUUUAUUCAGAGUUUAUUGCUAUUUUAAUUGAUUCAAAUUUCUGUAUCAGAGCAUGACUUUGAAAGCAAGAACUCUGGGAUACACUUGUCACUCAUACUGUGAAAGAAUCCUUCUACACAGAUAAACUAUAUACAAUCAAUAUUGAACACUACCCAUCACAACAGGGUAAACGGUACCAUAUAAAGAACAAGACCUCUUCUAAUGUUUCCUAAGAUUUAUAUUUUUUCAAGGUGUACUGGUCCCAGCCACCAGGAAUUUCAUUAUUGUUACUUUAAUACAUCACCAAAAUCUGCACAUUCUUCACUCCAGUCCACAUCAUUAACAUUGUUACUUGCUAUCAUUGUCCCUUUUCUCUUGUCAAAUUCAAUUGUUAUCUACACAAAUCACCAAAUGUAAAUGUGAAACCGCCUCAAAAGUUUAAUGUCACUCACUAUUUUUAAUAAACAUAGCAUUCACAACUAACAAAAACCUGCUUGUUUGUGAUAAAGAAUCUCCUUAUUUUGACUCUGUUCUAAUAUAUAAUAUUAAAACAAUUUCAAAGCUGUUUUAUGGACAACUACAUCCAACAACAAAAAGGAACAUGAGAUAUUUUAAUAAAAGUGUGAAUAAAUGGCUUCCAAACCUCACACUCCUACCCCCAGAUAUAUAUUUGAAGGCAAUUACUUUUGAAAGAUUUGUAGAAUUUUUAUUGAACUUAUUCUCAAAGUUUUUAUUUUUUAAUUAAUUUUUCCUCCUUAAAUCUCUAUUCUUUUUAUGCUUGCUUCCAUUUAGCACACAAAUCAGAGUCAAAGUUUUCAAUGGACAUAAUGUUUUAUACCCAUAAUUAAACUGAGAAUGGAUAGUAUGUAAACUAUCUGAAUAAAGCAAUAGCUGAUAAACCAUAUUAUUUUAAUUUUUAGAGGAUGGGUGUAUUAUUUUGUGAUCAAAAAGUCAAUUUAUAUUUACUAUAAAUUGAACCUCCCAGAGAGUCACACCUUUCAAAUAAAAUUGUAACUUAGUCUGUUUUCCUAGUAAAUAAUUUUUUAAAACUAAAAAACUUACACAGAUCUUUAGCUUUGAAAGUAUGCCUAUCAUAGUAAUUAUUAUAUUGCA
rnacentral:lncRNA from 10 species